UGGUGGGAUACUACCCUAGCUGUGUUGGCUUUCUAACCCGCACCACUUAUCGUGGUGGGAGACAGUGUCAGGCGGGCAGUUUGACUGGGGCGGUCGCCUCCUAAAAGGGAACGGAGGCGCUCAAAGGUUCCCUCAGAAUGGUUGGAAAUCAUUCAUAGAGUGUAAAGGCAUAAGGGAGCUUGACUGCGAGACCUACAAGUCGAGCAGGGUCGAAAGACGGACUUAGUGAUCCGGUG
rnacentral:rRNA from 1 species